GAACUAGUGCUCUCAGCAUCAGCNAGCCUUAUNUGAUCAUGGCUCAAUGAGCGCGGGGUAANGCCUACNCACAUGCAAGUCGCCCCGGCGNCACAGAGGGAGCUGCUCCUGGGCUGGCGACGUGGCGCGACCGGGCUGACGGACUACCUCGGACACUACUCGCCGCGGGGGACACCCGACGGGACACCCNCCAAACCCCACCCACCCAGGGCCNCCCCCCNGGNGCCCAACCGCC
rnacentral:rRNA from 1 species